AAUCGCCGAGAAAACGGUAGCUUUAUAUAUAUAUUUGCUGUCCGGUCUGCUCUGCGGACCGAUGAAUCUGGACAGAGGUCCAGGUCAAGUUCCCGUCUUUGAUUGGAUCAGGAACUCGGCCUUGUCAAUUGGUUCGUCCAGGCGUUUCCGGUGAAGAAAGUGGUCAAGAGCCGCGGCGUGUCUGAUUCAUGUUUAAUGCUAUACUUGGAAUUUGUAUGUAACGCUCUUAUGCUUUCAGCGUAAAUCAAAAGCCUGUAAUGGUGAUCACAAGGAAUAUCGAUCGGCGUUUUUACAUUUGAUUUAUGGCAAAGGGAGACGCCGUUGUGGAGCCGAUAUCCACGCGACGAGACUGUAAUAUCGAGCGAAUUCGGUUCUACCGCACUUCAUGUAACUUACACGUGUAAGUUGCCCAUCGAUUCAGUCCGGCGCAAAUAAAAUUUGCAACGUUGUAUGCGCGCAUACAGACGUCGGGUUCCACGUACAGAAGAACGUAGAACAGAUUAUUGUACGUAGGCACAGCGAAACGUGGUGUCAUGGUGCUCAAUAAUGCAAAACGGUGGCGAAUCAAAUUAAGCUCGAUCCACAGAAAAGACGAAAUAUCGGUCGUUCUUGGACACGUUCGAGCGUGUUAUGGAAUCGCCGGGGAGCAUAACAAUGAAUAAUGAAUGACGGGUAGCGGCCGGCAUUAGAAGUGGCUCAGACGUAUUAGAAAAUGAAAGUUAGGAAAGUUCGCGGAUGCGGCCAACGCGGAAACCGGCUAAUGCCUCUGGUGCAAGAAAAGCUACGGCUGGUCUCGUUGAUCUCGUUAGCGGAGCAAGGACUGCGCUCCGACGACGCUGCCCAGAAGAAUGCCAUUUAUUCCAGGACGCGGUAAUCGCGAGGCCGUUUCGACAACUCGCGUCGUCCCCCAGAAAAACGCCGACGAGCGAUGCGCGUUUUCAAACGCUAUCUUACCAGGAAAAUGAGGAAAUGUCCAGUUGCAACUGGAGUGCGGAUUUUUGUGGAAAUAUUCUGUACGGACUGAUUGAUUGGAGAAUAUGAAACAAAGCUUCAUCAGCUUAGUAAUGGUCUUGUUAUAUUCUAAAGAAGAUACUACAUUUUAUUACGUUGGUUUAAACGUUCUUCUGUGUCCAUCUUCAACGUCAGAAACUACCGAGACCUAAAUGCGAGUAAUUUAUAUUGUUUCAUAAGAGUGAGAUGAUUGGAUUUACUUUUACUAUCAUCUUCACCUUACCCAAAAUUAUUGUACGAGCGAGAAAUGAGAGGUUUCCGAAAUCAU